UACGGAGGGUGCAAACGUUGCUCGGAAUCAUUGGGCGUAAAGCGCACGUAGGCGGUUCGCUAUGUCGGAUGUGAAAGCCCCGGGCUUAACCCGGGAAGGGCACCCGAAACUGGCGGGCUUGAGUACGGAAGAGGGUCUCGGAAUUCCCGGUGUAGAGGUGAAAUUCGUAGAUAUCGGGAGGAACACCAGUGGCGAAGGCGGAGACCUGGGCCGAUACUGACGCUGAGGUGCGAAAACGUGGGGAGCAAACAGG
rnacentral:rRNA from 1 species